rnacentral:rRNA from 1 species
ACUCCUACGGGAGGCAGCAGUGGGAAUAUUGCACAAUGGGGGAAAGCCCAUCGAUGCAGCAACGACCGCGUGGAGGAUGACACAUUUUCGGUGCGUAAAACUCCUUUUAUAUAGGAAGAUAAAUGACGGUACUAUAUGAAUAAGCGCCGGCUAACUCCGUGCCAGCAGCCGCGGUAAUACGGAGGGCGCAAGCGUUACUCGAAUCAC